UACGUAGGGUCCGAGCGUUGUCCGGAAUUAUUGGGCGUAAAGGGCUCGUAGGCGGUUUGUCGCGUCGGGAGUGAAAACUCAGGGCUCAACCCUGAGCGUGCUUUCGAUACGGGCAGACUAGAGGUAUGCAGGGGAGAACGGAAUUCCUGGUGUAGCGGUGGAAUGCGCAGAUAUCAGGAGGAACACCGGUGGCGAAGGCGGUUCUCUGGGCAUUACCUGACGCUGAGGAGCGAAAGCAUGGGGAGCGAACAGG
rnacentral:rRNA from 1 species